AGGAUCAUUAUUAUAAUGCGUGGAAAUGCCCCUAAUAAGGGNANACNCUAUAAAACUCUAAACUUACUGUCUGAGAAGGCCANGUGCCGUAAUCUUUAAACAUUUUAAAACUUUCAACAACGGAUCUCUUGGUUCUCGCAUCGAUGAAGAACGCAGCGAAAUGCGAUAAGUAAUGUGAAUUGCAGAAUUCAGUGAAUCAUCGAAUCUUUGAACGCACAUUGCACCCUUUGGUAUUCCAUAGGGCAUGCCUGUUCGAGCGUCACUGACAACCCCAUCAUACAAGAGUGUGGUAUUGGCAGAAGUGGGUAGGGCUAGCAGUGCUGGUCCCACUCUGCUGGAAUGAAUAGGCCGGAAAUGCAGACCAUGGCAACAAACUUUCAGAGUAUUUUCAAAUGCUAAAUUAGUUUGGAGCUGGUCAGAAUCCAGGCUAUCGGACCCCCAUUCUGUGUAAAGCAGUAAUGUUGACCUCGGAUCAGGUAGGGAUACCCGCUGAACUUAAGCAUAUCAAUAAGCGGAGGAAAAGAAACCAACAGGGAUUGCCUUAGUAACGGCGAGUGAAGCGGCAAAAGCUCAAAUUUGAAAUCUGACACCUCUGGUGUUCGAGUUGUAAUUUGGAGAGGCAUCUUCUGGAGGGGC
rnacentral:rRNA from 1 species